rnacentral:tRNA from 1 species
AGCUUAGUAGUAAAGCAUUUGUCUAGUAUGCAUGAGGCCCUGAGUUCAAUCCUCAG